GGCCAGGUGGUGUAAUGGUUUGAGUGCUGGACUAGGACACUGGGAGGCCAGGGUUCGAAUCCCAGCUCGGCUA